GGGCGCACGUGCUCGAGCGUCGCGCGCCAAUUUUUCGCGCAUCACCGUCGCGCAGCGUCGUGCACUCUUCCAUCCUUCAUUCUCGAGCUUUCUUGUUCUUUCGCACCGCGUUUCACAGGUCGUUAGAUACCACGGAUCUCUUGAGAAAAUUACAGAAACCCACGUGGCAAGAAAAGUGGAUAUUUGGAAAAGGUUGAGCAGCUGACAGUCAACUGUGUAUUCAAAAUAUACAACAUACGUUUUAGAAAAUGACACGUAAAAGAAAAAGUAACGACUGCUAUUCAGAUAGACAUAAACGUCGACUCGUUGAACAACAAACUAAAUGAAGUAUUAUUAGAAUGAAGCACGUUGAGCACGUAUAGUACGAAAUGUAAAGUCGUGAACCGAACGCUUUUUUUAAAAUAUACAUGAAAAUAAGUAUAGUUUUUUCUCGAUUUAAACUUAUUAUUAUAAUAUUAUAAUAAUUGAAUUAUUUUUAAAUCAAUAAUGCAUAUGAAAAUAUAGGUUAUAAUAAUUAAGCUGAUACAGGGCAGUCUUUUGCUAUACAC